UCCUCUUCUCUCUCCCUCGGCAUUCUCUUUCUGUCUCCUCUGUUACAACUUACAAAACAGAGUAACACAGUGCCACCUUCUCCAGGUCGCACCGCCACCGUCCGGCGACGCCUCGCCACGAAACCACCACCACAGCGACCACCUCUCUCCCCUCUCUCUAAGCAUACUCGCAGAAGCGACGUUCAGCUCGAUUCCGGAAAGUCCAAGUUUGAGGCAGUGGGGACCUAUCACCGAUUUCCCGAGCUCCAGCAACUUUGUGGAGCUUCUCUUGCGUUGUGGCCGGCUAGAAGAAGAACCAGGAGCCUCGGUGUGGCAGCAGAACCGCUGACGCAUGAGAUCGGAGAUCGGAGGACGUGUUGUGGCGUGUCAGUCAACGUGUCGAAAAGUCAAAUUUUCUGAUACGCCACAUGACGUGUCCGAUACGAGAAAAAGACGUAUCGUAUCGGGGUGUCGGACACGCCGACACUCCACUCUUUGCCGUGUCCUUGCAACAUAGCUUAUUUGUUUGAAAUCUUCGGAGUUUGACAAUAGUUAUAGCACUAACGCUGCCACUGUUCCAGCUUCGGUUUUUUUCCAAGCCUAAUGUAGACUUGUCUCUGCUUAUUCUUCAGUUAAGCAGUGCCUCAGUUUCUGCCAUGGGCGUCUGAGUCUAUGCUAGUUGUGUAAGAGGGAAGACCAUCAUCUGUCUUUUAUGCUUGGGACUUGAAAGAAAAUGAUCACAUAUAUACAAGGUGGAUGAAGUUGGAGGCAAGAUUGUGAAAUGGUGUUUGAGAAAGAAAGUUGUCCUGGAAGAAGUGAUCAGUAAGUUGAUCGAUGUCAGAUUGGAAGCUUCUGGCGUUCGAUCCCAAUGAUGAAGAUAAUCAAGAUACACUGUAUGCUGUUGGUCGGCAUGACCUCCCGUUGCAGGCAGUGGGUCAACUUGAUUAAGCUCCUGCGUAAACCUAUUCAGGCUAAACAACAAAUUAACCUUAACUUGCAAUCCAAAUCUCGUCAAUGCUGGCUAGUUACGCCCUACUGAGAAAUACAUGGAAGGGUUUAUAUUUUCAGAUCAGACUCCGGUAUUCAACUUCUGGCAUCCACUUGAGCAUCAAGGCGCCAGUGGUUUAGUUGUAGAAUAGUACCCUGCCACGGUACAGACCGCGGUUCGAUUCCCUACUGAAGAAGAAUAUGGCUGAAGAGGAGGGGAUACCGCAGAUUCCAAGAGUUAAACUUGGAACUCAGGGAUUAGAGGUCUCAAAAAUGGGGUUUGGAUGCCUUGGCCUCACUGGGGUCUACAACUCUCCUGUUUCUGAUGAGGAUGGAAUCUCAAUAAUAGUAGCUGCUUUCAAUAAAGGAAUCACUUUCUUUGACACAGCUGAUGUAUAUGGACCUCAUACAAAUGAACUUCUUGUUGGCAAGGCAUUGAAGCAGUUGCCAAGAGAAAAAGUUCAACUAGCCACAAAAUUUGGUAUUGCUGGAAUAAUACAUCCUCCUAGUAUCAAAAUCACAGGUACCCCGGAAUAUGUCCGGUCAUGCUGUGAGGCUAGCUUGAAGCGUCUUGAUGUGGAAUACAUUGAUCUGUAUUAUCAACAUCGGGUGGAUACUACGGUGCCUAUAGAGGAAACUAUGGGUGAGCUGAAGAAGCUUGUGGAAGAAGAAAAGAUAAAGUACAUUGGUUUAUCUGAAGCUAGUCCAGACACAAUAAAAAGGGCGCAUGCAGUUCAUCCCAUCACGGCUCUACAAAUGGAGUGGUCACUCUGGACUCGUGACAUUGAAGAAGAGAUUAUUCCACUUUGUAGGGAGCUUGGCAUUGGAAUCGUUUCAUAUAGUCCUCUUGGGCGUGGGUUUUUCGGUGGCAAAGCAGUUGCUGAAACUGUCCCUUCAAAUAGUUUUGUGUCACUCUAUCCUCGGUUCGUGGGAGAGAACUUGGAGAAGAACAAGACUAUUUACUAUCAAUUGGAAAGCCUUGCUCAAAAGCACAAAUGUCUUACCUCUCAACUAGCAUUAGCAUGGGUUCUUCACCAGGGAGAUGAUGUUGUACCCAUCCCAGACAUAGAGAUGAGAAAAGGGCAUGUGCCGGCGGCAAAAGUGAAGGACUUUAUUGGCGAUGGAGAGGGGAGCUCACCAGAGUAGUCACUCAGUCGCAAAAGUAAUCUGGUAGUCUGGUACUCAAAGUUAGUCAACACACGUGAUCUCUUGUGUGGCAUUUUGCCCGACUUGGUCAACGUGCCAAACUUGCCAGGGGCUUGGUCAUGGAGUUUAUUGAUCCGGCAGCAAAAGGACAACACAGAUAAAGAACUUGAAUGCAAACAUUGGCUCCUUGAAGGUGAAACUUGAGGAAGAGGACUUGAAAGAAGUUACUGGUGCUGUACCACUAGACCAAGUUGCCGGUGGUAGAACUAAUGAAAACCUGAUGCA